AGUAAACACUGUUUUACAAUCCCUACUACUAGAGGUUGAUUUACUAAAUAGAUCAAUAUUUGGUUUGUAGGCACAAGGAUUAGGAGGUGGAAGUGCCUUUUGAAAAGUUUCCUAUCUUCCCAGGGUCCCCUGCACACCUGAGAAUGCUAGAGAGAAAAGAAAAGUUUUUCAAGCCUUGGAAGUCACUGAUACAAGAAGAAAAUAAUAGAGGGCUCAGGUAUGUUUUUUAAGGAAAAAGAUAGAUGGGAUUUGUGUAAUUUAAUUUUUAUCGAUUGACAAAUACUUAAUCCAUGUAAUAUUCAUAUUAUUUUUCAUUAAAAUGUAGUUCAAUAGCAUAUUGAGAGUCUCUGACUUGGCAGGUUCAAUUAAAAUAAAUAUUUAUUAAGUACCUAUUACACAAACAACACUACAAUAUAGUAGGUGCUGGGAAUAGAAGGUAACAUAUAACAAAGAAAAAUCUUCCCUUCUCUCAAGGAACUUAUAUUCUAAUGGUAGAAUAAAACAUACACAGCAAUGAAUACAUAUUUCAUCUUAGUGGUAAUAGGAUGGUACUAAGGCUAUGGUAUCCUGGAGCCAGGCCGUAUAGACUCACAAGAGUCAACUGUUAAAGGGUGCAUAUACCUAAGAAAUCAAUAGAUAUUACAGUUAAGUCAACCUUGACUUUCAUUGUCCUAUGGAUAAAGUGAGGGUGAAGAUGCUGAUUUCAAAGUGUGCCCUCAAUACAUUUUUUUCAGAGAGCCAGUUAUUAAACAUGUAAGCAAAGAAUUAAUGGUAAUAACUUCUUAGGAAUAUCACUUCAGUAGCUGUGUGGAGGAUGAAUUAGAAAGAAGAAAGCCUCAAAUUAGUUCAAGGUAGCCUGAAUGAAUAAGGGUAGCAUCUCUGUAAGUGGAAAUAAAUGUUCAGGUGUAAGAGAUGUUGUGGAGUCAGAGGUAGGAAAAGUUAACAAUGAAUUAUAUUGACAGUGGAAAGAUGACAGCGAAGGAAGAUUCAUCAGUGACCGAAGUUCUAAACAGGACUAGAGAUAGUAGUGAGAAAUGAGCUGGAGAAGGAAAUGGCAAACCAUUCCAGUAUCUUUGCCAAGAAAACCCCUAAUGGGAUCACAAGGAGUUUGAUGCAGCUGAAAUAAUGGAACAACAAUGUAGUGAUGAGGCUGUGGUGAAGAUGAAGAAUUCUGUACAUCUACAUCAAAUCUGAAAUGCCUGUAGGAUAGCCAGGAAAUGACUAUUGAUGAUGUGGGACUAGAGUUGAGCACAGAUUAGAGAGAGACAUUUGGAGGUCAUCUGAAAUAAAGGAUAAAUAAACCGUUAGUAGCAAAUGAGAUCACCAAAGUCUUGAGGGAUACCCAUUCUAAGGGAAUUGGAGAUGGAUAACACUCUAGCAAAGGAAAUUAAAAAGCACCAAGGAGACAGAAAGAAGAAGAAGCAGGGGAGAAAGUAAUACUGUGAAGAAGAGGGUAUCCAGGAAGAGAAUGGAUAAUUCAAAAUAUGCCGUUAUUGUGACCAAAACAAAAUGCCUCACUUUCCAGCCAAACUAGUGAUGAGUCUCUCCAUACCUUGAUAAGCUGUUCUUAGACAAGAGACUUUGUAAACCUUAAAGUGCUUUAUAAAUGGCAAUUGUUAUUAUUAACCUAGUCAACCAGCCUGUACUCUGGUAGUGUAAAGAUUAAAAUUUAGGGGAAGCUGAGGCAGCUAGAAAUUUGUUUCUCUCUGCAAGGAGUAUUCUAUUUUUAUGAGGUUUAUUGAAGAUUAAAAUAUAAAGAAAACACAAGUAAGAAAAGCACAUGUCUAGGCCCAGAGAUCCUAUUCACGACCACUCACAUCUUGUCUGCUAGGUGGAGAGCUGCGUGUGCUCCGAAGUGGAAGUAAAAAGAGAAAAAAAAAAGAGACCCCACCUACGGUGGAGAACCUUUAAAUAAUAUUUUGAUCUUGUCCCAGGUGAGAAUUCAGUGAGAUUACAAAGCAUUCUGGGGAAGUGGAGCACGGACUUCUGGGGAUUGAAGUACUGGAUUCAAGUCUAUUUUUGCAAUGGUAACAGCAUGAACUACAAUCUCUCAGUUCUAGAGCUAUGAUCCUAUGACUCUUUGAUUUAAUAAACCAGGUAUUAUUUCAGUUUCAA